CUCUUCAGCUGGCCUCUGGGUCUCAUCUCCUACAUCUGCUCCAGGGGCCUUCAUCCCUUUCCAAUGUCCAACCUUUCUUUCACAGGAAGUGAGCCUUCUCAUAGUUUCCUGAGAACAUUCACAAAUGUCCCCCAUCCUAUAUUCUUUAACCUGAGCUUCACUUCUCUCCUUCCUUUCACGGUCAAGGAUUUGUUUCUAUGAAAAGUUGGCCUCCAUUUGCUGUCUUCAUGUCCUUAUGGACCUUUCCUCCCACCAAGAUCUGGUUUCAUCUCAUUUCUUCACUGGCCAGUAGCAUCCAUGACUCCUGCAUCCUGACUUCACUUUGGGGUACAGAAAACAGUUCUGUGAGGGUGUCCUCUAGCUCACUGCCCAAGCAUCCACAUGCUGAGAUGAGUAGGGAGUGAGUCUCUUCUCUUGGCUAGCUUUGCCUUCUGUGUCCUGGAGGCCCUGCUGCCCACUAAUACAGCCUUAUCCUCCUCACCUGUCUCUAGACAAGACUUUAAGCUCUGAGGUGCAGAGAUGGCUUCUGUCAUGUUCUUUGCAGCGACCCCAAUGCCCAGCCUGGGAUGCAGUGUGUAUCUGCUAAUUGACACAAUGAAGAUGGGGCAAGGUGGACUGCAGGGUGUUGAAAGAAUCAAAGUUUUCUGAGCGAGACAAAGUGCAAGCAGGAAGGUGGAGAAAGGCCACAUCAGCAGUUGGAAACCUGGAGGCCCAGUGAGGAAGCAGAGGCCGAAGGCUCAAGGGCACAUCACUGCUUCCCUUCCUGGAGGCCUUCUUUCCUGGCAGGAUGUGCCCAUCCCAGAAUGUGUUAGCAAUGAUUCUCUAGCCUGGCUGUGCUUCAGAAUCACCUGAAGUGAUGGCUCAUACCCAUUCCCCACCCUCAAAGGCUUGGAUUCAGUUCUAGGAAGCAGUGUUUGGAAAAUCUGGGACUUCAACCAAAACCUCUGGUGGUUUGGAUAAUUUGUUGUUGAAGACUGAUGUUUGGGAACCACUGGUUUGGAGAGAUCUUUAUAGAGAAUAAUUUAAGAUUUUAUUUCUUAUAUUUGUUUUUUUCAUUCCCACAAUAAUGUAAACAUUAUAGAAACCCAAGAGAUCUGGUGUUACAAUAAAUGGUCAUUAGUACAAAAAUCAGUCAAAUGGGUUGUUAGUGCUGUAUAAGCUAAAAGACUGCUUGGCUGAAAUUUUCACCUUUAUUAGCAACAACAUGUAUUUAUGCAGAGUCGGAGAAAAGUGGUUCUCAUUCCUGGGUAUACAUUAGAAUCCCACAAGGAACAUUAGGAAAGUGCUGGUUCAGUAGGGAUCUCUGAGGUGGGGCUCUAGGUAGAGUCUAACAUGCAGCCAGUUUGAGAACCCCUGCUAUGGCAUUGUCAGAGCUCCUCCUAGUCUCCAGCUUCAUGGCAUCCUCAGGGCA